AUCUGAGCCACCUUGAGGGCCUUUCACAUCAUCUUUACACUUCCUUCUGUCUCCUUUAUUAUUUUUAAGGCGGAUUGAUGUGAAAAAUGAGGAAGCCUACGGCACCGGAGAAUCAGAGGGCCGGGUGCGAUAGAUAUUAAGAUGAGUACGUGCAAGUCUGGAUGCUCUGUGGUGUCCGAGCUCCCAGCAUGUCCCCAGGUCAAGCUGAGGACACGGAAUCCCCGGAAUUUUCUUUCCUGAGGACAACAACCGUGGCCUAUUUAUUGGCUUCAGUUGCUAUGAAGUGACCGCGCCACCGAAGGGAAGCUGGUGCCCUUAGCUCUACCCAAUCCUCUGGAGGAAUCACCAUGAAUCUCCCAACAGCAAAUCUUAGCUGGGGAUGCACAGAGCUGGGAGCAUCGUCCACAGGAGUGAGUUCUAGAGGGUCCUGAAGAACUCCAUAUCAUCAGACUACAGAGACACCUGCACACCCGAGUUUACUGCAGCACUUGUCCCUGUAGCUAAGGUGGAACCAACUUAGUGCCCAGCAUCACCG
rnacentral:lncRNA from 1 species